rnacentral:rRNA from 1 species
UACAGAGGGGGCGAGCGUUGUUCGGAAUUACUGGGCGUAAAGGGCGCGUAGGCGGCCCGCUAAGUCAAACGUGAAAUCCCCAGGCUCAACCUGGGAACUGCGUCCGAUACUGGCAGGCUUGAAUCCGGGAGAGGGAUGUGGAAUUCCAGGUGUAGCGGUGAAAUGCGUAGAUAUCUGGAGGAACACCGGUGGCGAAGGCGGCAUCCUGGACCGGUAUUGACGCUGAGGCGCGAAAGCUAGGGGAGCAAACGGG